rnacentral:rRNA from 1 species
GGGGAAUAUUGCGCAAUGGGGGCAACCCUGACGCAGCCAUGCCGCGUGAAUGAAGAAGGCCUUCGGGUUGUAAAGUUCUUUCGGUAGCGAGGAAGGCAUUUAGUUUAAUAGACUAGGUGAUUGACGUUAACUACAGAAGAAGCACCGGCUAACUCCGUGCCAGCAGCCGCGGUAAUACGGAGGGUGCGAGCGUUAAUCGGAAUAACUGGGCGUAAAGGGCACGCAGGCGGUGACUUAAGUGAGGUGUGAAAGCCCCGGGCUUAACCUGGGAAUUGCAUUUCAUACUGGGUCGCUAGAGUACUUUAGGGAGGGGUAGAAUUCCACGUGUAGCGGUGAAAUGCGUAGAGAUGUGGAGGAAUACCGAAGGCGAAGGCAGCCCCUUGGGAAUGUACUGACGCUCAUGUGCGAAAGCGUGGGGAGCAAACAGGAUUAGAUACCCUGGUAGUCCACGCUGUAAACGACGUCGAUUUGGGGGUUGAGCUUUAAGCUUGGCGCCCGUAGCUAACGUGAUAAAUCGACCGCCUGGGGAGUACGGCCGCAAGGUUA